UAAAAUUUUCAUAAACUAGAUCAAAAUUAAAUCUGCUAUAUUUUCCAGAAAAAGAAAAAAUGAAACUAACUCUUCAAAUUCAAAAUCUAGAAGAGAAGAUCUUAGAGUCACUCUCUGGGGUAACAUUGCCAGACAGUUUGACAUACAGAGCAUUAAAAAACUGUCUCCACCAGUGCUCACAGCGUUGACCAGUUUAAAGAUUAAGGAGCUCAUGGGCUGCUGUUGCUGUUAAUGAGAAGCUCGAUUGCUGAUAUCUCUGUCUUAACACAGUAGAAGGCACCGCAUUUUGAGACCUCGAUGAUCAAUUGGACCGGUUUCAAGUAUCGUUAGAAAGCCUUCUUUACUAUUCAUUUUGGGAAACUUUUAAACUUCUGAUUUUGUGAAAUUGAGCUCAUUUGAUCAAAUCGGAGGAUCCGAUUGAGCAAUCAGAGAUAUAUGAAAGACUCCAGGUAAGCUUCUUAUUUGAUCAAAUGGUUUGACAUUUUGGGUGCAAUUGAUUGGGUUUUUCAAUUUCGGUGCAUGUUGGUUUUUAUACUUUAUAGCUUCCAGAGUUCUUCCUCAAUUACAGUCUGCCAUUCUUCUAUAACCUUCUUAUUCGAUGGCUGCCAGUUCUAGGUGAUAGCUGAGAGAGUGAUUUAGAAUAGAAAAGAGAGCAGCAGGUGAAGGAACAGUGAUUUUGGGUGAUGUCACAUCAAUCUCCCAGUUUUGGUAGUUGAUCGAUAGACACAGAGAGAGGGUUCGAUCGAUAGACUAAAGGAGAGAGGGGUAGAGUACCAGUUUGAUCAUAGAGAUGGAAAGAUGCUUUAUCACCUGCUCGGGACAUCAACUUGAAGCUUGAACAGGUGAAGGAAAGUACUACCUUUUAGGUAAUUUGAGGGAUGCAUUUAUUUCUCUCUGGGAUUGAUUGCAUGUAAUUUUGUAUAAUUUGUUUUGAGUUUUGGGAGUGCUUUUCAUGUUUGUGGUUUCUGGGUCUAUUGACAUGGUGAGCUCCUUACAGUAUAUGCUGGUAAGGAAUAUGAAGGCAGGGUAAAUCGAAUUCAAAAUUGAAUGCCUUUGUUUGAACUUGAGUAUUCAGCAUAGGAAGAUCAUAUUACUCUGGCAAAAAUUGCAAGCUCUGCCUACUUUUUGUAUCUUCUAUUAAUGUCUGGGAUUUUGGUUUACUACUUAAUAUCAUACUAGAAGGUCAAUUAUUAUUGUACUAAGCUUUUAAAAUCUGAUUUGAGUAUCUCUAGGGCUACAGCACAUAGUACAAAUGGAAAAGAAAAAAAAGCUAAUAUGUAACUGAUGCAUAAAAGUUAAUUUUAAAUCCUAAACUGAAUUAAUAUAUUCAUCUUAUUUAAUUUUCCAUAUAUUCAUUGCAUUUAAACGCAGCUGAUCACAAGCAAAACAGCAGAAGAAGAAUGUAGGUCGUUUCAUAUAUUUGUAUCAACUGUAGGUAGAAUCAACAAUCUGUUACUUUAUUUUAUUGAAUGAUGCAUAAUGAGAUUUGACCUAUUUGGAAUUUCUCUCAUGCCGCAAUUCAUAUAUAUUUUUUUCCAUAAUAUGUAUAUGAGCCUUUAAUUCUUUUUAAGGCCAUUAUACACUGUUGCACCACCAGGCUAUUAAAUGGAAGAAUGGCAUGUUAUACUUAAAAUCAUGCUCUGUUCUGAGUCAUAUGGCAUCAUGUUUGCUUGCAUGUCCUGACCAUAAUCAGAUUAAGGAAUAACUUUAUCAAGAAAAGAGAGGCCAAUGUAACAGGAAUAACCAAGUGAACCCAUUGAAAGUAAACUCUGUAGUUCAAGCUUUGAUUGCUCUGUAUUUUCUGCCUACAUUUUACAACUGAAGUUUUACUCAAAUUACAAGUCUA